GGACUACUAGGGUAUCUAAUCCUGUUUGCUCCCCCGGCUUUCGCACCUCAGCGUCAGGGACGCACCAGUCGCUCGCGUUAGCCUCCGGCGUUCCUCCUGAUAUCUACGCAUUUCACCGCUCCACCAGGAGUUCCAGCGACCCCUCGCGCCCUCUAGCCAGGUAUUUUCGGCCGGCGCACCGACGGUGAGCGUCGGUAUUCCACGACCGAAUUGCCUGGCCGCCUACGUGCCCUUUACGCCCAGUGAAUCCGAACAACGUUUGCACUCUCCGUAUUACCGCGGCGGCUGGCAC
rnacentral:rRNA from 2 species